UAGGGAAUAUUGGUCAAUGGGCGAGAGCCUGAACCAGCCAUGCCGCGUGCAGGAAGACAGCUUUCUGAGUUGUAAACUGCUUUUAUAUGGGAAGAAAAAGGUCCUGCGGGACAAAUUGCCGGUACCAUAUGAAUAAGCACCGGCUAACUCCGUGCCAGCAGCCGCGGUAAUACGGAGGGUGCAAGCGUUGUCCGGAUUUAUUGGGUUUAAAGGGUGCGUAGGCGGAUCUUUAAGUCAGUGGUGAAAUCCUGCAGCUUAACUGUAGAACUGCCAUUGAUACUGGAGGUCUUGAGUAUACUAGAGGUAGGCGGAAUUUAUGGUGUAGCGGUGAAAUGCAUAGAUACCAUAAAGAACACCAAUAGCGUAGGCAGCUUACUGGAGUGUAACUGACGCUGAGGCACGAAAGCAUGGGUAGCGAACAGGAUUAGAUACCCCCGUAGUCC
rnacentral:rRNA from 1 species